UAAAAAAGCAACCAAUCAAUGGUCACACGUCAGCACCAUCUCAAUGGAAUUCUUCCGCUUCCAGAGUAUACUCCAACGGUAAGUAAAUGUAGAGUAGACCGUAGAGUGUAGACACCACGAAUCCACGAUGCUCCUGCGAUCUCUAAGCCUAAGCCAUGGAUAUGAAACUUUAACUCUAAGACUUAGACCUAACCGCCCUGCAAAGAACAGACUAUCAAAGAUCAUCAAAUCUUGCGCUCCCAGAAAGGACCUUCAAGGCCAAUCCGUUGCUAUCAUUGGUCUGGGAAAAUCUGGAAGAGCUGCAGCUAGGCUUGCUCUUGCGAGAGGUGCUUCAGUUCUAGCGAUUGAUGAAAAUAAGAAUUUGGGUCUGUUAGAGCAAGAUCCUCUUUUUGAAGAGUAUAGUGGUUUGAGAACAAUUCUUGGAAACCUUGAUGUACAGCUACUUAAGGAUGUCGAUUUGGUGGUUGUUUCCCCUGGAGUUCCACCAGAAAAUUAUGGUCUAUCCACAUUGUUGGAGUCAGGACAGCGGAUAAUGUCUGAGUUGGAUUUUGCUGCAGAAAUUCUUCCAAAAGAUAUCAAGAUUUUAGCAGUGACUGGAACCAAUGGAAAAUCAACUGUAGUUACUUUUGCUGGACAGAUGCUUAAUCAUUUUGGCAUUGAGGCAUUUGUUGGGGGAAACCUUGGAAAUCCACUCUCGGAGGCUGCUUUUCUGUGCUUAUCACCUUCUAUGAAGCCUGGGUUUCAGGUUGCUGUUGUGGAGGUUAGCAGUUAUCAAAUGGAAAUUCCCAACAAGUACUUCUGCCCUUCAGUUGCUGCUGUGUUAAAUCUUACCCCUGAUCAUUUAGAAAGGCACAAGACAAUGAAGAAUUAUGCAAUGACCAAGUGCAGUUUACUUUCUCACAUGACUGGCACCAAACUGGGACUUCUUUGUUUCGGAAAUCAGCAUUUGAAUGAAGCUGUUAGGGAACAUGCUGAAAAUUUUAAUCUUGCUUGGAUAGGAGCCUUUCCUGGAGUGAAAGUCAUUGCUUGUUUGCAACAGAUCAACAUUGAGACGAAAAUUGCCAGCUUGGAAGUUCCUACCAUGGGAGUUGUCUCACAACUACAAUUGGAUGCAAUGAAAGUAAUGGGAACGCACAACUAUUACAAUGCUGCAGUGGCUGCAUUAUGUGUUCUCGGACUUGAUCUUGGACUUGAUGCUAGUGGUAUGAGUUCAACAAUUGAAAAUUUAAGGGCACCACCGCAUCGGAUGGAAAUUGUACACAGGGAUGCCAAUGGGGUAACAUGGGUCGAUGACAGUAAGGCAACAAAUGUUGAAGCAACGUACACUGGACUAUUGGGUCUGAAGCAACAAAAGUCUGUAAUUCUACUUGGUGGCCUUGCAAAGGUAGUAAAUGGGGAAGAAACUAAUGGAUUUGAACAAUUGAUUGAUCCACUGAAGUAUCAUAGAUGUGUGAUCACUUUCGGAUCUUCGGGAAAGAUGAUUCAGAAGACCCUGUCCGAUAAUGGUCUAAGCAUUCCCUGUAUUGGAGCUAAAAAUAUGGAGGAUGCAGUCAACUGUGCUAAGAGGAUGGCAAAAUUUGUAAAAUUGCAGGUACUAUUUCUUUGUCAAGGGCCAGUCUGUCUGAUUAAAGCAUGAGGUACAAAUAAUUGGACAUAUGGGAGUUUGAAGACAUGAGCAUAUGGUGAACAACCUCUGUUGAAACAUUGGAAGUCAUAAAAGCUAUAACAGAAGAUGGGAUGCUAUUGUACUCAGUCCAGGUUGUGCGAGCUUUGAUGAAUUCAGAAAUUUUGAGCACAGAGGUUUGGUUUUUCAGGAGAUGGCCUUCUCCUCGUAGAAUUGCAAAUUAAUCAUCCUCUACCUCUACCUCUCCCCCGGAUUAUGCCUGUCCCUUAUCAAGUUACUGGAGUGCACAUUUUAAGGCACCGCUUAUAGGGAUUUUGGAGUCAAAAUUACUAUAUAUAUAUAUAUAUAUAGAGAGAGAGAGAGAGAGAGAGAGAGAGAGAGAGAGAGAGAGAGAGAGAGAGAGAGAGGUGGUAGUUACACUAUGCAUGUGAGACAGUUGAAAUCAUUUUCAGUUGGAGUGUACGGCAAUGUAUAACUCAACAUGUACAGAAAUAAUUAUUGAUACAUGUUUGUGAGAGAGAGAGAGAGAGAGAGAGAUCAGUAUAAUCAAGUUUUAACAGUCUUCUGAUCUCUUCAUCUAGUAGUUCUGACAAUAUGUGAACACUAGUAAUUCCUUUGCAUGCAAUAAAAUUUUUCCUUGAUUAAAAUUUA